rnacentral:rRNA from 1 species
CUGGUUGAUCCUGCCAGUAGUCAUAUGNNNGUCUCAAAGAUUAAGCCAUGCAUGUCUAAGUAUAAGCAAUUUAUACAGUGAAACUGCGAAUGGCUCAUUAAAUCAGUUAUCGUUUAUUUGAUAGUACCUUACCACUUGGAUAACCGUGGUAAUUCUAGAGCUAAUACAUGCUUAAAAUCCCGACUGUUUGGAAGGGAUGUAUUUAUUAGAUAAAAAAUCAAUGUCUUCGGACUCUUUGAUGAUUCAUAAUAACUUUUCGAAUCGCAUGGCCUUGUGCUGGCGAUGGUUCAUUCAAAUUUCUGCCCUAUCAACUUUCGAUGGUAGGAUAGUUGCCUACCAUGGUUUCAACGGGUAACGGGGAAUAAGGGUUCGAUUCCGGAGAGGGAGCCUGAGAAACGGCUACCACAUCCAAGGAAGGCAGCAGGCGCGCAAAUUACCCAAUCCCGACACGGGGAGGUAGUGACAAUAAAUAACGAUACAGGGCCCUUUCGGGUCUUGUAAUUGGAAUGAGUACAAUGUAAAUACCUUAACGAGGAACAAUUGGAGGGCAAGUCUGGU